rnacentral:piRNA from 1 species
UCCAGCACUCCACCUUCAGGGAGUAGA